rnacentral:lncRNA from 1 species
CAAGGAAAUCCGAACCCAGAAGUUAGUUCCCUUGGAAAUGAAGAUGAACAAGGAGAGGUUCUUGAAUGAAAUUAAACCCAAUCAGAUCAGCUCUUGGGGCUCAGAAGAUGCUGCCUGUUAUUUUCAGAGGUAUGAGAAAGUUGGACUAAGGAAGACAAGAAGUGAUCAACUUUCGAGCAAGACACCAGAGUUUCCAAAAUCAUGAC